UCAUUUAAUAUAAUAUUUUACAUGAACCAAUAAGUAUAACUAACUUUAAGUAUCUUUAAUCCGUAUUCGUGCUCUGGUACACCGGAUUCCAUAUUUCUAUAGACCACGGAAUAUAAUAUACCGCAUCUACAGAUACGUAUAAUACCUACAAACUGAAGUUAACUACAGUCUACAAAACAAAAUAAGUUGCAAACCAAGUGAAUAACAUUUUGGGAAGUACGACAAAUUUGAUAUUAUUUGCAGUUAUAAUUGUAAUUACAAAUUGAUACAACAUAGUAAAAGAGAUGGAUUCUGUAAAACAUGUUAUACCAUGGAUAAGUGGCCAAAAGGAAGUUCUGAAAUCCAACUGAUGUGAAUCUAAAUUAUAUAUAAACAGCUGUCAUACUCCCAGUUUAAUUCAAGUCCUACAAAGUCUACACAGAGAUGGAGUGUUAUGUGCUAUUAAGUUAGAAACAGAAGACGGUGUAAUAGUGUAUGUACAUAAAGUUGUUUUAGUAUCAGCUAGUCCAUACUUCCGUGCAAUGUUCACCAGUUUUGCCAAAAGGGAUGGAGAUGUUGUAAAUUUAGACAAUUCUUUGAAACAUUUGCUUGUGGUGAAGAAAUGCAACACAAUAUGGAUUAUAUGGUAUUUUCGGUAUACCUACCAUAGGUAAUACAAAUUAAAAAAAUAAAAAGGUGGGCAAGAGGGCACUGUUCUGCUUUACGCAUUAGGAGUCUAGUAGGUCACAGUAAUGGAUUGUGUUAAAUUUGAAUUCAAUGUAUAUCAUUUCACUAUUGAAGAUAGUAUAUUGUUAUACUAUUCUUAAGUUCAAUUUAUGAUAUAUUAUUUGCCCAAAUAGUUGUUUCAAAUUAGUGUUUAUUCCAAAAUAAAUAAAUUUAUAUAUAUUCAUUGUAUAAGAAUAACUAUUCAGAGCGAAGGCGUUUAGUCAGUUUAAAUAAUCAUAAUUAUAUUUUGAAAUUUUUUAUAACUAAAAUCGUUAUUCUCUGUUUAAAAUAUAUCUAAUUUAGUUUAUAUUUGAGCUUAAAAUAUCUAUUAAAAAGACUGUUUAUAUAAUAUAAAUAAUUAUUUUUUAAAUUUUUGUUUUCACACUAAAAUAGGUACUUAUGAGAAAUCUUGUUUUAAAUUUUCAAUUCUUAAACUAUGCUUUUAAAAUGCUUCUGAAGCAAAACCAUUGCUGUUUUUUUAUUAGAAAUCAUUGAUUUACAAUUUGAAGAAAAAUGUUCAUGAAUUUUCAACUAAACUGUUAUUUUCUUUAUUGAAUCGACUAAAAACAAUUGUAAUUACAUAAACAAGACUAAAUGAUUUAAACCCUAGUUAUUUUAUAUUAUAAUCAAAAUUAUUUAAAUUCAUUAUUAUCGUUUAUUUGUUUAAGUUUUGUUUCCAGCUGCUAAUCUCUUACAGUUGAAUCAUGUAAAAUGUGUAUCUGUUGACUUUUUACAAAAACAUCUGAAUCCUUCAAAUUGUUUUGGUAUUAAAGGAUUUGCUGACUUUUAUAACUGCAUGGAAUUGUCUUCAAGUUCUGAAGAAUACAUAUAAACAAAUUUUUUAAAACUGGUUGAAGCUGGUGAAUUCCUAUCUUUGUCUUCUGAAGAAAUGAUAAAUCUAAUCUCUCCUGAUGACAUUAACGGUCUAUUUGAAGAAAAAAUAUGCCUUAUUAAAUUUGUAAUUGUUGUAUUUAAUUAUUGUUGAAAAAUCAACUUACUUAUGCGGAUUGCGAGGAAUAUAAUUGAAUCGUAUGAUUCACAAAUACUAAUAACAGGGGGAUGGGUAUUUGGGAAGAGGAUAUAACUAAAUAAUUAUGUAAAUUUUUGCAUUAUUUAAUAGUUUUUGGCAGUUUAUUAAAUUAGGUAUUUAAUUUUAAAGCUAUUUCUAAAGGUUAGAUUAUUAUCUAGGACAUCUCAAAGGCUUUUGGUAAUAUUAUAUUUUAAAGGAAGUUAUGAGUAUUAUAAGCUAUGCAAACAAUUAACAAUUUCAACUCGCUUUAAAAUUAAAAUUUAAUCAGAUACCUUUAAAUUUUAUAAGAUAAUAAUUCCCUCUAAUUUUUAAACUAACCUAGCUAAACGUUAUUUACUGAGAGUACAUUUUUAAAAUGUUACCAUAAUUAUCUGUGUAACGUCCACUUUAGAUAAUAAAUUAGAAGUUCACAGUCAAAAAAUAUUAAAUUUGAAUCAACAAGCUUAGAGUCAUUACGGAAAAAAAUACUAACAUAACUCAGCUUAAUAAAAGUUCAUAUACUUUUUUGAUUAUUCAAAUAGUGCAGAGGUUUUUGACAGGAGUAUUCAAGAAUGGCGAUUAAUAUCUAAUAUGUCUACUGAGAGAGGGGACCCUGGUUUGAAUGCUAUAAUCCCAGCCUUGACACGUGGACACCAGUCACACAAAUGUCUACAAAACGCCGUGCCCCUGUUAUAGGAGUCUUAGACGGUGUAAUGUAUGCUAUUGGUGGUGCCUGUCAGGAACUCGGAAGUUCAGUGUAUCUUAAAAGUGUUGAGACCUAUUCACCAAUUACUAAAGUUUUGUCUCCUAUCAAAGAUAUGCACUUGUCCAGAUUCAAUUCAAGUGGUGUGACAUUUAAGGGUUUGUUCUAUGUUAUUGGCGGAUCUGAUGAAUUUUUGGAUUCUGUAGAAAUCUAUGACCCUAAAACCAAUACCUGGAUCUUGGAACCAUGGCCGAAAAGUUUAGUGAAUGUUUAUGGGGCAGUAAUAUUUGAUAUGCCAUCACAUUUGAGAAUAUAUUAGCUUAUGCAUGGUCUCCUUGUUGGUUGUUGUAUAUAUUAUAUUCAUAUUAAUAUAUAAUUCAUGAACACGUGUUAAGUAUUUUAUACAUUUUUGAUUUUGUGAAUUUUGUAUUAAGCCACUUUGAUCGCCACUGGACGUCAAUGUUUUAAUAUAAGUUUUAGCUUAUUAUAAUUAAUUUGUUCGUUUAUUUGUGAUCGGUGUAUACGACAGAAUGUUUGAAUAAAAUGGUU